CACUGCGCUGCUACCAUGCAGUCGACGGAAGGCCCUUCGGGGUACUCGAGUGGCGAACGGGAGAGAUAACACGUGGGUGAUCUGCCCUGCACUCUGGGAUAAGCCUGGGAAACUGGGUCUAAUACCGGAUAGGACCACACACUUCAUGGUGAGUGGUGCAAAGCUUUUGCGGUGUGGGAUGAGCCCGCGGCCUAUCAGCUUGUUGGUGGGGUAAUGGCCCACCAAGGCGACGACGGGUAGCCGGCCUGAGAGGGUGACCGGCCACACUGGGACUGAGAUACGGCCCAGACUCCUACGGGAGGCAGCAGUGGGGAAUAUUGCACAAUGGGCGCAAGCCUGAUGCAGCGACGCCGCGUGAGGGAUGACGGCCUUCGGGUUGUAAACCUCUUUCAGUAGGGACGAAGCGAAAGUGACGGUACCUACAGAAGAAGGACCGGCCAACUACGUGCCAGCAGCCGCGGUAAUACGUAGGGUCCGAGCGUUGUCCGGAAUUACUGGGCGUAAAGAGCUCGUAGGUGGUUUGUCGCGUUGUUCGUGAAAACUCACAGCUUAACUGUGGGCGUGCGGGCGAUACGGGCAGACUAGAGUACUGCAGGGGAGACUGGAAUUCCUGGUGUAGCGGUGGAAUGCGCAGAUAUCAGGAGGAACACCGGUGGCGAAGGCGGGUCUCUGGGCAGUAACUGACGCUGAGGAGCGAAAGCGUGGGUAGCGAACAGGAUUAGAUACCCUGGUAGUACA
rnacentral:rRNA from 1 species